rnacentral:rRNA from 1 species
ACGAACGCUGGCGGCGCGCCUAAUACAUGCAAGUCGAGCGUGAAAAGGGGGCAACCCCUGAGUAAAGCGGCGCACGGGUGAGUAACGCGUUGGUUAUCUACCCCCGAGUUCGAGAUAACCCCGGGAAACUGGGGCUAAUACCGGAUGACGCAUAACGGAUGGCUCCGUUAUGUUAAAGAUUUAUCGCUUGGGGAUGAGCCCGCGUCCUAUCAGCUAGUUGGCGGUGUAAUGGACCACCAAGGCUAAGACGGGUAGCUGGUCUGAGAGGAUGAUCAGCCACACUGGGACUGAGACACGGCCCAGACUCCUACGGGAGGCAGCAGUAGGGAAUAUUGCGCAAUGGACGAAAGUCUGACGCAGCGACGCCGCGUGGGUGAAGAAGGUCUUUUGAUUGUAAAGCCCUGUGAGGGGGGACGAAAAAUUUAAAAUUGACGGUACCCCCAGAGGAAGGACCGGCUAAACACGU